GCUGCGAUGGCCCGAGUGGUUAAGGCGUUGGACUUGAAAUCCAAUGGGGUCUCCCCGCGUAGGUUCGAAACCCUACUCGCAGCG